rnacentral:tRNA from 1 species
GUGAUCGUAGUUCAAUCGGUAGAGCACCUGACUGUGACUCAGGAAGUUGCGGGUUCAAGUCCCGUCGGUCACC